UGAAUAUUACUCUUUCUGUAACCUAGAGCCUGUUGACAUCUCCAGACCAGCGCUAAAGAAGUGCUCCCUGUACUUCCACAAAGAUAGCAUUUUUCAGGAGUUCCAUGUAUUGUCCAUUGAUCUGAGCUGUAAGGAUGCGGAGAAAAUUUUGACAAUUUCCUACAAGCCAGUUUGCCACAUAAAGCUGAAUCGUCCAGGAAAACCAGAUAUCAACUUUACCACCAUUUCCUGGUUUCCCCAAGUUGCACCCCAUUCGAGACUCGACCUUUACGCCUCCCAGCUGCAGUGGAAAACAGAGGAUCAGUCAUGGAGUGUGUGUAUACAUUUUGUGUGUGUGUUCAA